rnacentral:lncRNA from 1 species
GACACAACAGUAUCAAAUUCCUUUUAAACAGAUCAAAUCAGACCCAUAAACACAGAAAACAUGAACCCUAGAAUCUGAAAAGUUCAAACAAGUCUAAGAAGGUGAAAAGUUCACGUUUUCCAAAUCGCACGAUUGAGUACAGAAUCCUAUAGUUCAGAACGUGAAUAAAACGAUUUAACAAGUUUCGUUACGAUCCGAUAAGUAUUCAAGCGUGAAACGACGAACGAAUUUUGACAAACAGAGAAUACCAAGAGUUUAGAAUAACACAACCUGAUACAAAGUUGCUCUGAUACCACGUGAUGCGAUCUUGGGUGAGAAGAUCCAGUCCCUUGAAGUCUCUU